AUGGUUACAUCAUUUGAAAAAGUUAAAAUCAUGGAUUUAAAACUUUAAAGAGCACAAAGAUGAAAUAUCUACGUUAAAUAUCCAAUGGUUUGUGGAUUGAUGAUGCUGGCAAGCUUGUUGAAAUGGAGGACAUUGGGAAGACCUUCGAAUCGUCGGUAUACUUGACUGUGACGACCAUCCCUGGCAUUGCUGUAAAGGCUUUGAUCGUUUAUCCUACGAUAUAUCUUACAUAUGCAUGCGUUCGAAAAACCCUUUUCGAUAUCUUUUCAAUAUACAGGCAGCUGUUUACACAGCUUUUGGAACAAGUUCCAGUUUAGCGCUGCAACUCUGCCUGUAACUUUGAAGUGUGUGAAAGAAAUCAACAAAAUUGACACGAGAGUUGCUCAUUUUGUUUUACUAAUUGGAGCAACAGUGAAUAUUUACUUUUAUAUAAACUUUUAUUACUUAUGUAAUUAUUUAUGCCGAAACAUGUCUAUUCUUAAAAAACUCGUCGUCUAUAUUAAAUGCACUUCCCAUAAUUGAAGAUAAGAAAUAUUGUUUGUAUUGUUCGAUAACAAAGUAUUUUGAUUUAACCAAGGUUUGUUGUACAAUGCUUCCUUUAAAUCACAAACAAUGGUUAUUUGUACCAUACCUCUUUUAAAUGAAAUAGCAUUAUUGACUAAAUACAAUGAAUACUUAA